rnacentral:tRNA from 1 species
UCCCUGGUGGCUCAGUGGUAAAGAAUCUGCCUGCAGUGCAGGAGAUCCAGGUUUGAUUCCUGGAUUGGGAA